GACGAACGCUGGCGGCGUGCCUAAUACAUGCAAGUCGAACGAAGCUGUUUUAACUGGUGCUUGCACCGACUUAAACAACUGAGUGGCGAACGGGUGAGUAACACGUGGGUAACCUGCCCCAAAGCGGGGGAUAACAUUUGGAAACAGAUGCUAAUACCGCAUAACCACAGAAACCACAUGGUUUCUGUGUCAAAGAUGGUUUCGGCUAUCACUUUGGGAUGGACCCGCGGCGUAUUAGCUAGUUGGUAAGGUAAUGGCUUACCAAGGCAGUGAUAGGUAGCCGAACUGAGAGGUUGAUCGGCCACAUUGGGACUGAGACACGGCCCAAACUCCUACGGGAGGCAGCAGUAGGGAAUCUUCCACAAUGGACGAAAGUCUGAUGGAGCAACGCCGCGUGAGUGAAGAAGGUUUUCGGAUCGUAAAACUCUGUUGUCAGAGAAGAACGUGUGCGAGAGUAACUGUUCGUGCAGUGACGGUAUCUGGCCAGAAAGCCACGGCUAACUACGUGCCAGCCGCCGCCGUAA
rnacentral:rRNA from 1 species